CUAAAGAUUAAAAUGUUAUUCAUAGAGAGAAAACUUCUUUACCAUGUGGAAUCCUCGAGUAUUGCCAAUCAAAAGCUGCGGAAGAACAGGCCUGUCCGACAAAACCCCUAGCGGAAGAACAAGACCGUAGGACGAAACCCGAAGAAGAAGAACAAAUCUCUGAUUCGUUGAUUCGUGUAUGAGAACGAAGAGGAGGAAGAGUAAAACGAGAUUAGAGACGAAAAAUGGAUGAAAACUGACGAAGGAACAAGGAUUUUGCAUAACCCCAAAUUGCCAUUGACAUGGGUUGAGAAGCUACGGUGGAGAAGACGUG
rnacentral:lncRNA from 1 species